rnacentral:rRNA from 1 species
GCAGUGGGAGCACCCUUCGGGGUGUGACUGCGUACCUUUUGUAUAAUGGGUCAGCGACUUAUAUUCUGUAGCAAGGUUAACCGUAUAGGGGAGCCGGAGGGAAACCGAGUCUUAACCGGGCGUUAAGUUGCAGGGUAUAGACCCGAAACCCGGUGAUCUAGCCAUGGGCAGGUUGAAGGUUGGGUAACACUAACUGGAGGACCGAACCGACUAAUGUUGAAAAAUUAGCGGAUGACCUGUGGCUGGGGGUGAAAGGCCAAUCAAACCGGGAGAUAGCUGGUUCUCCCCGAAAGCUAUUUAGGUAGCGCCUCGUGAAUUCAUCUCCGGGGGUAGAGCACUGUUUCGGCUAGGGGGCCAUCCCGGCUUACCAACCCGAUGCAAACUGCGAAUACCGGAGAAUGUUAUCACGGGAGACACACGGCGGGUGCUAACGUCCGUCGUGAAGAGGGAAACAACCCAGACCGCCAGCUAAGGUCCCAAAGUCAUGGUUAAGUGGGAAACGAUGUGGGAAGGCCCAGACAGCCAGGAUGUUGGCUUAGAAGCAGCCAUCAUUUAAAGAAAGCGUAAUAGCUCACUGGUCGAGUCGGCCUGCGCGGAAGAUGUAACGGGGCUAAACCAUGCACCGAAGCUGCGGCAGCGAACGUAUCACCCAAGACAACUUUACGGAGUUGACGAUUGACGGAGCGAAGCGACGUCAAAGCGUUCAUUAAAGUCGAGUUGGCUUAGGGAUACGUUCGUUGGGUAGGGGAGCGUUCUGUAAGCCUGUGAAGGUGUGUCGUGAGGCAUGCUGGAGGUAUCAGAAGUGCGAAUGCUGACAUAAGUAACGAUAAAGCGGGUGAAAAGCCCGCUCGCCGGAAGACCAAGGGUUCCUGUCCAACGUUAAUCGGGGCAGGGUGAGUCGACCCCUAAGGCGAGGCCGAAAGGCGUAGUCGAUGGGAAACGGGUUAAUAUUCCCGUACUUGGUGUUACUGCGAAGGGGGGACGGAGAAGGCUAUGUUGGCCGGGCGACGGUUGUCCCGGUUUAAGCGUGUAGGUGUGUGUUCCAGGUAAAUCCGGUUCACUUUAACACUGAGGCGUGACGACGAGGCACUACGGUGCUGAAGCAACAAAUGCCCUGCUUCCAGGAAAAGCCUCUAAGCAUCAGGUAACAUCAAAUCGUACCCCAAACCGACACAGGUGGUCAGGUAGAGAAUACCAAGGCGCUUGAGAGAACUCGGGUGAAGGAACUAGGCAAAAUGGUGCCGUAACUUCGGGAGAAGGCACGCUGACACGUAGGUGAAGUGAUUUACUCAUGGAGCUGAAGUCAGUCGAAGAUACCAGCUGGCUGCAACUGUUUAUUAAAAACACAGCACUGUGCAAACACGAAAGUGGACGUAUACGGUGUGACGCCUGCCCGGUGCCGGAAGGUUAAUUGAUGGGGUCAGCGCAAGCGAAGCUCCUGAUCGAAGCCCCGGUAAACGGCGGCCGUAACUAUAACGGUCCUAAGGUAGCGAAAUUCCUUGUCGGGUAAGUUCCGACCUGCACGAAUGGCGUAAUGAUGGCCAGGCUGUCUCCACCCGAGACUCAGUGAAAUUGAACUCGCUGUGAAGAUGCAGUGUACCCGCGGCAAGACGGAAAGACCCCGUGAACCUUUACUAUAGCUUGACACUGAACAUUGAGCCUUGAUGUGUAGGAUAGGUGGGAGGCUUUGAAGUGUGGACGCCAGUCUGCAUGGAGCCGACCUUGAAAUACCACCCUUUAAUGUUUGAUGUUCUAACGUGGACCCGUAAUCCGGGUUGCGGACAGUGUCUGGUGGGUAGUUUGACUGGGGCGGUCUCCUCCUAAAGAGUAACGGAGGAGCACGAAGGUUGGCUAAUCCUGGUCGGACAUCAGGAGGUUAGUGCAAUGGCAUAAGCCAGCUUGACUGCGAGCGUGACGGCGCGAGCAGGUGCGAAAGCAGGUCAUAGUGAUCCGGUGGUUCUGAAUGGAAGGGCCAUCGCUCAACGGAUAAAAGGUACUCCGGGGAUAACAGGCUGAUACCGCCCAAGAGUUCAUAUCGACGGCGGUGUUUGGCACCUCGAUGUCGGCUCAUCACAUCCUGGGGCUGAAGUAGGUCCCAAGGGUAUGGCUGUUCGCCAUUUAAAGUGGUACGCGAGCUGGGUUUAGAACGUCGUGAGACAGUUCGGUCCCUAUCUGCCGUGGGCGCUGGAGAACUGAGGGGGGCUGCUCCUAGUACGAGAGGACCGGAGUGGACGCAUCACUGGUGUUCGGGUUGUCAUGCCAAUGGCACUGCCCGGUAGCUAAAUGCGGAAGAGAUAAGUGCUGAAAGCAUCUAAGCACGAAACUUGCCCCGAGAUGAGUUCUCCCUGAGACUUAGAGUCUCCUGAAGGAACGUUGAAGACGACGACGUUGAUAGGCCGGGUGUGUAAGCGCAGCGAUGCGUUGAGCUAACCGGUACUAAUGAACCGUGAGGCUUAACCUUACA